rnacentral:rRNA from 1 species
UGCCAGCAGCCGCGGUAAUACGGAGGGGGCAAGCGUUAUUCGGAUUUAUUGGGCGUAAAGGGCGCGUAGGCGGCCUGGCAAGUCAAAGGUGAAAGCCCUCGGCUCAACCGAGGAACUGCCUCUGAAACUGCUGUGCUUGAGUCUCGGAGAGGUUGGCGGAAUUCCAGGUGUAGGAGUGAAAUCCGUAGAUAUCUGGAGGAACACCGGUGGCGAAGGCGGCCAACUGGACGAGUACUGACGCUGAGGUGCGAAAGCGUGGGGAGCAAACAGGAUUAGAUA